rnacentral:misc_RNA from 1 species
GAAACAUUUGUCUUAAUUGUUUUUGUAUCAUUGUUUCAAGCAGCCCACCAUGCCUCAACCUCCGCUCUUUUUCACUUUUACUUUUUCCUUCCUCCAGCUUCCGCUGGCAAAUUGAGGUGGUUCCUCAUGGCAUGCUCGAGUUUUUCCAACAACUAGGAGGCAACAACAACCAGCUUCCAAAGAAGACACAGCAACAGUACAUGUUGUCAAAUAGAACAUAAGUCUAGGGCUUUACAUGUUCUCUAAUGAACUGUUCCACCUGAGAUAUCUCGCCUGUCAAGCCAGAAGACUCUGCAAUGGUAACUUUGUUACUGCAAUGAGAGAACGUAAAUAAUUCCCCAGGGAUCCCAAGAGUAAACUCAUUUGCAACAUCAGCUUCUGAUAUUCCACUUCUUGAUACUCGUAAUUUUUCAAUUUCUUUCUCCAA